rnacentral:rRNA from 1 species
UACGAAGGGGGCUAGCGUUGUUCGGAAUCACUGGGCGUAAAGGGCGCGUAGGCGGCUUUAUAAGUCGGGGGUGAAAGCCUGUGGCUCAACCGCAGAAUUGCCUUCGAUACUGUAGAGCUUGAGACCGGAAGAGGUAAGUGGAACUGCGAGUGUAGAGGUGAAAUGCGUAGAUAUCUGGAGGAAUACCGGUGGCGAAGGCGGCAUCCUGGACCGACAUUGACGCUGAGGAGCGAAAGCUAGGGGAGCAAACGGG